GAAAGGGAGAUCAAAAAACAAAAGAAAAAAUGAAAGACAGAGGAACACUGAGCAUCUGGAGGGGGGUAAGGGAAGGGCGUCGUGUGCUUCUCGCAUUCAUUUUUUCUUUGCUUCUUGACGUCUCUCUAUGAUUAUGUGC
rnacentral:ribozyme from 1 species